UACGUAGGGGGCAAGCGUUGUCCGGAAUCAUUGGGCGUAAGCGCGCGUAGGCGGCCCGGUAAGUCCGCUCUGAAAGUCCAAGGCUCAACCUUGGAAUGCGGGUGGAUACUGCCGGGCUAGAGUCCGGAAGAGGCGAGUGGAAUUCCUGGUGUAGCGGUGGAAUGCGCAGAUAUCAGGAGGAACACCAAUAGCGAAGGCAGCUCGCUGGGACGGUACUGACGCUAAGGCGCGAAAGCGUGGGGAGCGAACAGG
rnacentral:rRNA from 1 species